GUGAGUGAGUUAAGUGUGGAGAAGAGAAAGAAAUGUGAACAUAGAGAACUGGUUUGAUUAUAGAUCUUAUCUCACUGUCAAACAUAUAACAAGUUUAUAUAUGGCUGAGCAUUGAGCAACUACUAUCUUGAGCUUAAACAUAAUCACUAACAAGCUGUAAAUUUAAAAGAUACAUGGUAAACUAAACUGAACCAUUUUUUAUAUAUAGAAGAAUAAGAACAAUCCAAUCAAAGGAGAUCAGUCAAAGUUACACUACAAGAAAAAUUGAAGAUAGCGACAGUCCAUUUGAGGCACUUGGAAGUCUACCGCCGCCGCUCAUCUCAAUAGCGACGUUUAUUGCGGCAUUCAUUCAACCGCGGUUGGUGUGGGUAAAUCUCGGCAGUUCUAGUGGUAAAGUGGCAGCAGUCUAAUUGGGUACAGCGGCGGCUAGAUUAGGAAGGUGAUGAAACUUGCUCAAUCCCUUGUUUUCAAUUUCAGGUGAUGAAAUUUUGAUAUGAAUUAAGACAAAUUUCUAUAAUUUUUCUAGGUUUUAGGUUUUACGAAAUUUUUGAUUUGUUUCUUUGAUUGAUUGAAUAAAUAUAAGAGAAGAUUUAUUGCUUAUUACUUUCAAGAAUAUGCAGUUGUCGGUUGAUUUGAAGUUCAAAAUAGGAGAAGAUUUAUUGCUUAUUACUAUAUGGAGCAAUGAUAUAUUAGUGAUAUAAGAAUGAGGACCUAGUCCUGUAUAGAGCAGAUAUACAUAUAUCAUGCAAAUUAAUCCAGCUUUUUUGAGAUUUAUCAAGUUGAUGGAAGUUAAGGAUUUAUAGUUUUUUUUAAGGUAUCCAUUUAAAGUAGCUUUGUAUGAGAAUAGUGGUGUUGAUACUGUUAAAUACUUCUACAAAUUUUGACAUUUAUGUGGUCUUCUAAUCUUUGGAAAUAGUAUGUAUGCCAAAUAUAUCUAGUGUGUGUCAACUUAGUUUGACUUUUCUAUUAUUAUUUUGACCAUUCAGGUACUUUAUCCAAUUGUUCUCUUGUUAUUUAGAUUUGUCCUUUAUGUUCAUCUGCUCUGCAAUUUUGUCAUGCACCAAUCUCUGGUCUGUAUUUUUUAAUUGAAGGAUGUCUUGAAACUAGUGCAAUGGCGACAUCUAGUAAGUUUGAUCCAUCUUCCAGUAGCCCAAAUAGACCAUUGUACACUGCGCAGCGUGGAUCCAACAUAGCUGCUUCAUUAGAUAGAUCAUGUAGCUUUCGAGAAUGCACCGAAAAUCCAAUUUUGUCUUCUCUGCCCAAAAGUCUAAUCGUCACGUGGAUUAUAAGCGACAAGUUAAUGUUGCUCUUGGAAUUUCACCUGAUGAAUCUACAUCUAUUUCUUCAAAAGGAAAGCUAUUGCCAUCCCCAGUACCAGAAGAUGUAUAGCAUAUGAGGGAUGGUUUGUAUUCAAGCACUGUGAAGGCGAGGGAACGUGUGAAAAUGUUCAAUGAGGCCUUAUCUGUAUUCAAUGAAGUUUUCCCAACUGUAAAUAGUGUCAUGCUAAAUGAUCGCUUAGUCUUGGGGCCAAGCAUAUGGGUAAGGUUGGUGUUCAAGGUCAUCCUUUCACUGGAGGUUUUGAACUAGAUCAGCAAAAGUCGGAAGAAAGCACCAAAAGUCUUGGUCCAAACUAGCGCUCUCAAACUUCUAUGGUUGAUUUAAAGGUGUUCAAUGAUCCCACGGCAUUAACAGAUGAGGAGUUGUAUGAUUUGCGAGACCGCUGGGCAACUUGUUUUCUUCAACUAUAUAAUCCCGAGGUAGAUUAUGAUGAUGCCGACGAGAAAGAUUAGGAGCUAGCUAGGUUUGUGUGAAGUUACAAUGGACUAGUUAUGAUGAUGUUUUAAUUUGUAUUUUGGAUGGAUUAGUAUUAAUUAUUAUGAUGUUUUGUAUUUUGGAUUACAAUGUGGUUGUACUUUAAUGACAUUAUUACUAUA